AAUGCUGCGUUAUGCCGUGGGGUGC
rnacentral:piRNA from 1 species